rnacentral:tRNA from 1 species
GAGGGCGUAGCUCAGUUGGCAGAGCAGCGGCCUUUUAAGCCGUAGGUCCAGGGUUCGAGUCCCUGCGCCCUCA